rnacentral:rRNA from 1 species
AGGGGGACAACAGUUGGAAACGACUGCUAAUACCGCAUACGAUCUAAUCUCGGCAUCGAGGAUAGAUGAAAGGUGGCCUCUACAUGUAAGCUAUCACUGAAGGAGGGGAUUGCGUCUGAUUAGCUAGUUGGAGGGGUAAUGGCCCACCAAGGCGAUGAUCAGUAGCCGGUCUGAGAGGAUGAACGGCCACAUUGGGACUGAGACACGGCCCAG